UACGUAGGGGGCAAGCGUUGUCCGGAUUUACUGGGCGUAAAGGGCGCGUAGGCGGCCACCGCAAGUCGACUGUGAAAUCUCCGGGCUUAACCCGGAAAGGUCAGCCGAUACUGCGGGGCUAGAGUGCAGAAGGGGCAACUGGAAUUCUCGGUGUAGCGGUGAAAUGCGUAGAUAUCGAGAGGAACACCUGCGGCGAAGGCGGGUUGCUGGGCUGACACUGACGCUGAGGCGCGAAAGCGUGGGGAGCAAACGGG
rnacentral:rRNA from 1 species